UACGUAGGUGGCAAGCGUUAUCCGGAAUUAUUGGGCGUAAAGCGCGCGCAGGUGGUUCUUUAAGUCUGAUGUGAAAGCCCCCGGCUCAACCGGGGAGGGUCAUUGGAAACUGGGGAACUUGAGUAUAGAAGAGGAAAGUGGAAUUCCACGUGUAGCGGUGAAAUGCGUAGAGAUGUGGAGGAACACCAGUGGCGAAGGCGACUUUCUGGUCUAUAACUGACACUGAGGCGCGAAAGCGUGGGUAGCAAACAGG
rnacentral:rRNA from 1 species